rnacentral:rRNA from 1 species
AUGGGAACGCGAAGAACCUUACCUACUCUUGACAUCCAGAGAACUUUCCAGAGAUGGAUUGGUGCCUUCGGGAACUCUGAGACAGGUGCUGCAUGGCUGUCGUCAGCUCGUGUUGUGAAUGUUGGGUUAAGUCCCGCAACGAGCGCAACCCGUUAUCCUUUGUUGCCAGCGGUUAGGCCGGGAACUCAAAGGAGACUGCCAGUGAUAAACUGGAGAAGGUGGGAUGACGUCAAGUCAUCAUGGCCCUUACGAGUAGGGCUACACACGUGCUACAAUGGCGCAUACAAAGAGAAGCGACCUCGCGAGAGCAAGCGGACCUCAUAAAGUGCGUCGUAGUCCGGAUUGGAGUCUGCAACUCGACUCCAUGAAGUCGGAAUCGCUAGUAAUCGUAGAUCAGAAUGCUACGGUGAAUACGUUCCCGGGUCUUGUACACACCGAGUCGU